AGAAGUUUUGGAUAUGUAAACAUUAACGAUCAACUGGUACUCAAAACUUCAGAAUUUGACAUAUCUAAUGCAUGGUAAUUGGAAAAAAAAAAAUACCGUAAAAGACGCUAUUAUACAUUACAAAAAAUAUAAAUACUGUGUACACUUAAACAGUUAUUUACUUUCAUCUAUCUGUAAAUAAAUAAGUCAAAUUUUUGAUAUUUAGGGGGUGUAAUUGGUUCCUAAUUUAUAAGGAAUUUUGAUGACUUCAAUCAAAUACUAGAAAGUAAAAAAAUGAAAGAUUUUAAACGAUUGUUAGAGACUUUUUUAUAAUCUUGUUGAUUAGUUUUUCAUAAUUUUGUAAAGUUUUUCAAACAAUCUCUCUAUUUUGAUAAUACUUUUCAAUGAUUUUUCAUGACUUCAUUUUAAGAAGAAAAAUGUAGAAAGUCAUGAACCAAUAACAUAAUAAUUUAAAUUAUUAACAAUCAAAGAUUCUUUUGUUUUAAUUGAAUAACACAAAACUUUUAAUGACUUUAUAAGUGUAUAAAUCUAAUAACCCAAAAUUUAUGAAGAUUUUAAAUUAUUUUUUACAAAUCUUAAAUGAAUAACACAAAAUUUUAACAUACUUUUAAAAAGUCUUGAUUAAAUAACAACAAAUUUUACAUAACAGUUUAAAUCACUUAAAUUCUUUUGAAAUCAUAAACGAAUAACACCCCUUU
rnacentral:sRNA from 1 species